rnacentral:rRNA from 1 species
GACAGAGGUGCCGAGCGUUAGGCGGAAUCACUGGGCUUAAAGCGUGUGUAGGCGGGUCGGUAAGUGGCUUGUGAAAUCCCACAGCUCACCUGUGGAACUGCUUGGCAUACUGGCGAUCUUGAGCCACUUAGGGGCAACCGGAACAAACGGUGGAGCGGUGAAAUGCGUAGAUAUCGUUUGGAACGCCAAUGGUGAAAACAGGUUGCUGGGAGUGCGCUGACGCUGAGACACGAAAGCCAGGGGAGCAAACGGG